rnacentral:rRNA from 1 species
GGGAAACCGGAGCUAAUACCGGAUAAUAUUUUGAACCGCAUGGUUCAAAAGUGAAAGACGGUCUUGCUGUCACUUAUAGAUGGAUCCGCGCUGCAUUAGCUAGUUGGUAAGGUAACGGCUUACCAAGGCAACGAUGCAUAGCCGACCUGAGAGGGUGAUCGGCCACACUGGAACUGAGACACGGUCCAGACUCCUACGGGAGGCAGCAGUAGGGAAUCUUCCGCAAUGGGCGAAAGCCUGACGGAGCAACGCCGCGUGAGUGAUGAAGGUCUUCGGAUCGUAAAACUCUGUUAUUAGGGAAGAACAUAUGUGUAAGUAACUGUGCACAUCUUGACGGUACCUAAUCAGAAAGCCACGGCUAACUACGUGCCAGCAGCCGCGGUAAUACGUAGGUGGCAAGCGUUAUCCGGAAUUAUUGGGCGUAAAGCGCGCGUAGGCGGUUUUUUAAGUCUGAUGUGAAAGCCCACGGCUCAACCGUGGAGGGUCAUUGGAAACUGGAAAACUUGAGUGCAGAAGAGGAAAGUGGAAUUCCAUGUGUAGCGGUGAAAUGCGCAGAGAUAUGGAGGAACACCAGUGGCGAAGGCGACUUUCUGGUCUGUAACUGACGCUGAUGUGCGAAAGCGUGGGGAUCAAACAGGAUUAGAUACCCUGGUAGUCCACGCCGUAAACGAUGAGUGCUA